UGCGGCUGGAUCCCCUCCUUUCUAAGGAUUGUCCUUAUGAAAAAAAGACGUGACCUGCUCUUAGUUUUAUAGAUCAGUGUUCAGUGUCAGUAAUCGGUGUUCGUUUUUUCAGACACUAAUUCACGGACACUGUACAUUUGAAACCCGAAGCGGGUUUCAAUGUUCUUUGACAACAGAAGGGAAGAAGUAAGGGUCAAGAUAGAAAGGGCGUACGGUGGAUGCCUUGGCAUCAGGGAGCGACGAAGGACGCAACGGACUGCGAAAAGCCACGGGGACCUGUGAGUAAGGAUUGAUCCGUGGAUAUCCGAAUGGGGAAACCCGG
rnacentral:misc_RNA from 1 species